GACGAACGCUGGCGGCGUGCUUAACACAUGCAAGUCGAACGAUGAUCUCCCAGCUUGCUGGGGGGGAUUAGUGGCGAACGGGUGAGUAACACGUGAGUAACCUGCCCUGGACUCUGGGAUAACCCCGAGAAAUCGGAGCUAAUACCGGAUAGGACCUUGCACCGCAUGGUGUGGGGUGGAAAGUUUUUUCGGUUCGGGAUGGACUCGCGGCCUAUCAGCUUGUUGGUGAGGUAAUGGCUCACCAAGGCGUCGACGGGUAGCCGGCCUGAGAGGGUGACCGGCCACACUGGGACUGAGACACGGCCCAGACUCCUACGGGAGGCAGCAGUGGGGAAUAUUGCACAAUGGGCGCAAGCCUGAUGCAGCAACGCCGCGUGCGGGAUGACGGCCUUCGGGUUGUAAACCGCUUUUCGAGGGGACGAAGGCAAUGACGGUACCCUCGGAAGAAGGAUCGGCUAACUACGUGCCAGCCGCCGCCGUAACAC
rnacentral:rRNA from 1 species